CAGAUGUCGCUGCGCAGAAAAAUAAUUCCCCCAGGAAGAUGACCCGUUUGCUGAAGUCACUUAGAAUUGACUGUGCAGAUAUGAAGUUUUGGAUCAGCCAUGAAUGUUAAAGGAAAUAUAGGCUAUGGUUAACAGUAUGAACUGGACAAUUUCUAUUUUCCAAUUUGGACUCAAAAGCUUUGCGCAUCAUCUAAAUACGAAAUGUGAACAUAUGUACAGCUGCAUGUAUGAAUCUGGAUGUGUACACCUGUUGUCAAUUUACUAUUCAUUUUUGGAAUGCACAAACGUGUUCUGUGCAUAUCUGUGAACAGUAUUGAAAAGUGAUAUAUUUAAUUAUUUUGUGAUAGAAGAAGGAUCAUUUUGACGCACAUCUGGAUUAGUUGGAACCGUGGUGAGGAAAGCACAAACUUUAAAUAAAAUAAAAUUGUGGACAGCGAGUGGACCUACAACUAUAUAGAGUUGCACUUUGAUGAACUACGCUGUGAAUGAGUUUUGUUACAAGUAUCAUACAAAAAUAAAUAUCACUGUACAUGUAUUACAAUAUAUUAUUAAAUAAGUGUUACAUUAUUUAUUUUCAUAUUUAAAUAUGUUAAUAAGUUUCUGCAGACUGUUUGUAUCAAAGUAAAUCGAAAUUAAAGCGGAACUGCCAAACACAGAGAAUAAAUACUGAUAAACCCUGGUUUGACCAGAAGUAUGAAGAGCUAUAUGCUGAUUACUGUAAAAGAUUACAUACUUUUAACUGAUAAAAAACAUUUAAUAGUCAUAUAGAUUUGAACAGUGCCAAAAAAGCUUAUAAUAAUUAUGAAUGUAAGCUCAAAUGUAGUUACAAACGACAGGAAGGUCUAUGUUGUGUAAACUAAAGAAAGACAAUCCAAGACAAUUUUAUUCAUUAUUUAAGAAAAAAAAAUCAGAGGAAAUGUGAUGUAAACAUUACUGACUUUUUUUUAUUAUUUCAAAGAACUUGUUUCAAGUAUGCCUAUUAGCAACAUGAGACCCGAAGUGAUUAAUAACGACUGUGUCUUUGAUGAGUUAGAUGCAGAUAUUAAUGCUGAUGAGAUUUUAAAGGCAAUUCUUGAACUUAAAAGUGACAAAAGCCAUGGUCCAGACUGUUUGCUGAAUGAAUUUUUCAUUGAAUACAAGGAUUUUAUUAUGCCAUAUUUAUGUACUAUUUUUAAUGCCGUAUUAAUAGUGGAUAUUUCCCAUCAGCAUGGUCAGAUGCUAUCCUGGUACCAAUUUUCCAAUCUGGUGAAACUAACGAUGCAGCAAACUAUCGUGGUAUAAGCCUUGUCAGCAAUCUAGGUAAACUUUUCACCACAAUACUAAAUAAAAGAUUGUUAAAUUGGGCAACCUUUAAUGGUAUCUUUUCUGAUGCACAGUUUGGUUUUCAUAAUAGUCAUGAUAGUUAUAGUACAGUUGAUGCUGUUUUUUGUUUAUACUCUGUUAUUCAAAAUACACUCUGUAAAAAUAAAAAAAAUAUAUUGUUGCUUUGUAGACUACUUAAAAGCUUUUGAUUCAAUUGAUCGUUUAUGUUUAUGGUACAAAAUUGCCAAAUUAGGUAUCAGGGGAAAACUAUUAACUGUUUUAAAAUCUAUGUAUAGUAAUGUUAGAACCUGUAUGAGAUUCAAUGGGCUAAACUCUGAUUACUUUUGUAACAACCUUGGUUUAAUGCAAGGGGAAGUUCUUUCUCUGAUUUUAUUUUCUUUCUAUGUGAAUUAUUUUGAAAAUGAAUUUAUUGCUAAUGGCAAUUGUGCCUUAGAGUUUCAAGAUAUAACAUUAUUUUUGUUGAUGUAUGCCGAUGAUAUGAUGUUGAUGUCUGAAGCAGUAGAAGGUUUACAGGAAAUAUUGAAUACUUUGUCAAUUUACACAGAAAAAUGGGGCUUGUCUGUUAAUACAAAGAAAACAAAAAAUGUUGUUUUUCGGAAGGGUGGAAUUGUCCGGCCUAAUGGGUCUAUAACGGUCAAACAAUGGAUAUUGUGGAAAAAUUUGGUUAUUUGGGUGUAUUACUACCUUAUAAUUGUAAAUUUCUUAAUACACAGAAACAUUGUGCAGAACAAGGUAGAAAAGCUAUGUUCAGUGUGAGGAGAACUACUUCAUCACCAUGUUUAAAUAUAUUUUCAAUGCUUAGUCUGUUUGAUACUUAUGUUAUAUGAGAUAUGGGGAGUACACAAAUCUCCUCUGAUAGAAAAGGUUCAUUUGGACUACUGUAACAUGAUAUUAAGUGUCAAACGAACGACCUAAAAUGUGAUGGUCUACUUUGAAUUAGGUAGAUUUUCCACUGCAGUAUGAGCGUAAUUUUAGAAUACUUAAAUUUUGGUUCAAAAUUUUAGUGAGUGACAAUUGUAUAUUAAGGUCUUGUUAUAAAGAGCUUGUGUUAAAUUGUUCAAAAUGUAUGAAAUGGGUAACAUAUGUAAAAAGAUUGUUAUGUAGUCUUGGUAUGAAUAAUUUUUUGUAUAAUCAGUGGUUGUUGAUGUAGACAGCUCAUAUUUACCUUUAAUAAGACAGCGUUUGUUUGAUCAAGCUAAUCAAGAGUUACAUUUUUUAUUAGAAUCUUCUGCAAAGUGUAGAUUAUAUAAGUAUGUGGUAACAAAUGUAGUUUUGCAAUUUUAUUUACAGAAAUGCAUUUCUGUACUUUUUCGCAAAUGUAUAACAAGGAUUCGUUUGUCUUCACAUAACCUUUGUAUUGAAACUGGACGUUAUGUUGGUACUAUUAAAAACGAAAGAAAGAUUUAAGAGUAAUAGAGGAUGAAUUUCAUUUCAUUCUACAAUGUAGCAGAUAUACUGAUUUGCGUAAAAAAUAUAUCAAAAAAUAUUACUGGUCUAGGCCAUCAACUUUUAAGUUAAUAGAAUUAUUGUCUGGUAAAAAAACACAAAACAGCUUUGUAACAUAUAUACAUUUCUCUUUUAUAUUAAGAAACAGUUAAGUGUAAAUAUAUUUUGUAAACUUCUGACGUCACCUAUUGUUAUUUAUGCAUAUUGUUAAAAUUAUUUGUAAUAUGCCAUAUGAAUACACUAAUGAACCGUCAGGCUCAAAGGUAAUAAAGAAUGAGUAGUUACAGUACUGAUAAAUA